CAUUAUGUGGAGGAGAUGUUAGAGGGCCAAGUGGAACAAUCUUAUCACCUGGUUACCCGGAAUUUUAUCCAAAUUCUCUGAAUUGUACAUGGACUGUCGAUGUAACCCAUGGAAAAGGUGUGCAGUUCAACUUCCACACUUUUCAUUUGGAGGACCAUCAUGACUACUUACUGAUCACAGAGAAUGGGAGUUUUACCCAACCUCUGGCACGUCUGACUGGUUCAGAGCUUCCUUCAACAAUCAAUGCUGGUCUCUAUGGAAAUUUCAGAGCACAGUUACGCUUCAUUUCAGAUUUUUCUAUAUCAUAUGAAGGAUUCAACAUUACAUUCUCAGAAUAUAACCUUGAGCCUUGUGAAGACCCUGGAAUUCCUCAAUAUGGUAACCGAAUUGGAUUCAACUUUGGGGUUGGAGACACUCUGACUUUCUCAUGCUCAUUGGGUUAUCGCCUGGAAGGAACAUCGGAGAUCAUCUGUCUUGGUGGUGGUCGGCGAGUGUGGAGUGCACCUCUGCCAAGGUGUGUGGGUACGUGGUCAGCUGCUUUCAUUUGCUUGUAUGUGUAGUCACUGUCCAUGGACUUGCAUGGUUAUACACCCUUUGUUUUUUU